CCUACGGGGGGCAGCAGUAGGGAAUAUUGCUCAAUGGGGGAAACCCUGAAGCAGCAACGCCGCGUGGAGGAUGAAGGUUUUCGGAUUGUAAACUCCUUUUGUUCGAGAGGAUAAUGACGGUAUCUAACGACUAAGCACCGGCUAACUCCGUGCCAGCAGCCGCGGUAAUACGGAGGGUGCAAGCGGUACUCGGAAUCACUGGGCGUAAAGAGCGCGUAGGCGGGAUAGCAAGUCAGAUGUGAAAUCCUAGGGCUUAACCAGAGGACUGCACUUGAACGUGUUAUUCUAGAGUAGGGGAGGGGGAGGGGGAAUUCUGGGGGUAGGGGUAAAAAC
rnacentral:rRNA from 1 species